rnacentral:misc_RNA from 1 species
GAUGAAGAACGUAGCGAAAUGCGAUAACUAAUGUGAAUUGCAGAAUUCAGUGAAUCAUCGAAUCUUUGAACGCACAUUGCGCCCGCCAGUAUUCUGGCGGGCAUGCCUGUUCGAGCGUCAUUUCAACCAUCAAGCCCCAGGCUUGUGUUGGGGACCUGCGGCUGCCGCAGGCCCUGAAAACCAGUGGCGGGCUCGCUGUCACACCGGGCGUAGUAGAUUUUAUCUCGCUCAGGGCGUGCUGCGGGUUCCGGCCGUUAAAAAGCCUUUUUUACCCAAGGUUGACCUCGGAUCAGGUAGGAAGACCCGCUGAACUUAAGCAUAUCAAUAAGCGGAGGA